GCAGUUUCUCUCUGUGGGAGGAGGGUUGCUAAUUCUUUCAUCCUCAUUUGAGACAUUGACCUGCCUGUGUGGGCGGGGCUAUCCCCUGUAAAUACGUCAGAAUAUUCUCUGUGCUCUGUGAUAAUGCACAUUACAUUACUCCACGACAGAACCUAUUGCAACACCACCAUACAGAAAGAAAUUCGCUGCCAAACUCCGUAUUUGAGAUCCUGGACCUUCCACGCUGCCCACAUCAGGAGCUUUAGCCAGCAGCCUGGUCCUCAACUACAUGCUAAUCCCCGCCGGACCAUCGUUCAGUUUUAUUCACAGAAACGGUGCCUUCAAGAAAUCAAAGCAUAAGAGCCUUCGGAAGCAGCAUGUAAGUGCAACGUAACUUUCCCGAGUUUGGUGACGAUGAAUCGAUGAAUCGUAGACUGCAGGCUGAGCCGCCUGAGCUGGGAGCAGCAGCAGUUCUCAGGGAGCCACUGCCCCCUGGUGUCUCCACACUGGCCAGGAAGCAUUUUUGGUCAUGAUCUGUAAGAGAUUAUUGCUGGGCUCUUUCUGACUCGUGCCUUCAUCUCAUGGCUUUUAAAAUCAGACCUUUCUUCCUCCUCUCCCCCACUCUGAUUUUUAAUAAGACCCAUUUUAUUAUAAUUAGCAAAAUAGUGUAUACUCCUUGAAGAAAAUUUGAGUAUGAUUAUUUAAUUUCAUUAAUGUUUUAAUGUAUUUCCUCCCCCAAUUUUUUUUCUUUCUACGUAUAAGGAAAUCUAAUUUUACUUGGGGACAGAAGAAAAGCCACAAAAACUAUGAAACCUAAUUUUAUCAUAAAUGUCACAUAAACACGAUCCCCUGCACAGUAAGAAAACCAGUUUUUGAAUCUGCUAGAAUACUAAGAAACAGAGUUGAUGUUUCUCUCUUAAACAAUAUAAAACAUAAAGGAUAGCACUUUAGAUCAUAGGCCCUCAUAAAAUGUGCCUGUAGUUUCAAUACUAUGGAUUAAGAAUACUGGAGCGGGUUUUGGCCGGGCUCGGUGGCUCACGCCUGUAAUCCCAGCACUUUGGGAGGCCAAGGCGGGCAGAUCACGAGGUCAGGAGUUCGAGACCAGUCUGGCCAAUAUGGUGAAACUCCGUCUCUACUAAAAUACAAAAAGUAGGCGGGCAUGGUGGUGCGCGCCUGUAAUCCCAGCUACUCAGGGGGCUGAGGCAGGAGAAUCACUUGAGCCAGGAAGGCAGAGAUUGCAGUGAGCCGAGAUUGCGCCACUGCACUCUAGCCUGGGCAACAGAGUGAGACUCCAAAAAAAAAAAAAAAAAAAAGAAGACUGUAGUGGGCCAGUGGGCCAGGCAUGGUGGCUCACACCUAUAAUCCUAGCACUUUGGGAGGCUGAGGCGGGCAGAUCACUUGAAGUCAGGAGUUCAAGACCAGCCUGGCCAACAUAGUGAAACCUUGUCUCUACUAAAAAUAGAAAAAUUAGCCAGAAAUCGCUUGAACCUGGGAGGCAGAGGUUGCAGUGAGCCAAGAUUGUGCCACUGCAUUACAGCCUGGGCGACAGAAUGAGACUCCGUCUCGAAAAAAAAAAUACUGCAGUGAAUGCAACUAUAGACACUCAUUAAAUUAAAUAUUAUCUCAUUUUCAACACAGAAAAAUAAAACUCCCUGCUUUAAAGAGAGAAUGUGUCAAUUAUGUAAUUUGGCAGUCUAAAUGGUCCCGUUAUUGGCAACUGCUUUCACAUGUGAUUGAUCAUAUUGCUAAAUAUUGUGUAGGUAUGUUGCUUCCUCUCACCAUGGAGAAUAUAGAAACAGAGGCUUAGAUCUGGGUAUUAUAGAAGGAGGUGAGAACGAGGUCUUUGCUUCCCCAAGUUCCUUUUCUUCUGUAUUUUAUUCAUUGUGUGUGUCAGUUAAAUGCUUAUACAAUACAAUAUAAACAUAGUUGUAUGAUGUCAGAGAGUAACUGUGGAUGAGAACUGGAAUGGGGUAGAAGGAAGCUUAAUGGUUUCAAUAUUUUGUCUGAUGCUUUAUUUUCUUUGAAGACCCUGCGACUAAGAGAGGACAUUUCAGUAUGAGCCGGAAUUUGAUCUCAACUAGGAGUUUAGAGAGGGACAGGUGAAAGAAGCCCUGGAACAUGGGUUCUCAAUUUUUUUUAUGCUGAGAUCACUUUAAUUCUAUGGGAAGAAAACUCCAUGGCUGGAUGUGGUGGCUCACUUCUGUAACCCCAGCAUUUCAGGAAGCCAAGGUGGAAACCUCAUUUGAGCCCAGGAG
rnacentral:lncRNA from 1 species